GCGGUAAUGGUGAAGUUUGGUUAACACAUCGGUUUGUGGCACCGACAUGCGCAGGUUCGAAUCCUGUUUACCGCC
rnacentral:tRNA from 1 species